rnacentral:lncRNA from 1 species
UUUGCAAAUUAAAUUAAUUAAUAAAAAUGGAUAUCAUCAAAAAAACUAAAAACAAUUAAUAUUAAUUAACAUCCAUUGAAUCCAAGAAAUUAAUUUCAAAAUAAAUACAUCUAGUAUCCAUGUCAUCACCACCAAUAUAUAAUAAAACAUCCCAAAUUAAAAAGGAUCAAACCAAAAUAUAAAACAAUAGUUAAAUUCCAAUUAAACUUCAAGAAAAAUUCAAAUUCCAGCCACUAAGCCAAGUUUUCCAACAAAACUUCCAAAGAUUCAUGGAAAUAUUCUAGCAGCAAGACUUCCAGCAGCAAUACCCUCUUCCAGCGGCAACACUCCAAUAGCCACGUACCCAGCAACACUUCAAGCCACUGUAAUUCCAGCCAUAUACCCACCAUCUUCCAACACCACUGUAAUUUCAGUCAUAUACCCAGCAAUAUUCCAACCCAAACCCAGCAAAGAAAUCUAUUCAAAAUUAAUCAAAAUACCCAAUGUUAUCGAAUGCAGAACAUGCACACUACAACCGUUAACAACAACUACUAUAAUUUGACACUACAACUUUAAUUUCAACAAAUUGCAACAUAAAAUUUUCAAAAAUGAAAGACCUAGUUACAAAAUGUACUUCAUGCAUUCGGGCAACCAAUGAAAGUAAUAAACUAGGAAAAGAAUAAAAAUCUAUUUAGUAGCAUAGUCCCUAUAAUCCACAAAAAACAUAGAAAAGUUGAACCUACAGCAUAGAUUUCCAAAUAGAAAAACAAACUAUAUAUAAUUCAAACCUUUGGAAUAGAUGGGCAUAAGUAGGAGUUGGAAAUAAUAAAUAAGAACUAAAAAGCUCAAUAAAUACUAGUGUAAUGUGUUCCAAAAUUCCUUUAAAAGCAUAGGAACAUUUCCACAACAAAAGCACAAAAAAUUGGGGAAAAAAAAGAUAAGACUAUCUAAAUUUCUUGUGCAUGUGUAACAUAGAUAGAAAUAAGAAGUGAGAAAAGAGACAGAAAAACACUCAAAUCCCUCAAGAUAAAUAGCCUUCACAUUCCUAUAAAAUUUGAAACACGCUGACAUCACUGCAACAAAAUUUGGCAAAACAAAAAACAAAGUUAAAGACCCCCCCCCCCCCCAUUUCAGCAAAGUCCUUGUUAUUCCACAAAAGCAAGAAACAUCUCACUAUCACUGCAACACAAAAUUUGCACAAAUGGUAACCAAAUUACAAGUUGAUUUUAUGUGUCUACACAGCUAGAAAGAGGAGUAAUAAACUAGAAGAUUUAAAAACUCAAUAUAUUAACCAAAUUACUAGUUGAUUUUACGUUCUUAAGAAAAGAAUAAAAAUCUAUUUAGUAGCAUAGUCCAAUAAUCCACAAUAACAUAGAACUGUUGUCCCUGAGGCAUAGAUUUCCAAAUAGAAAAAAUAAUAAUAAUAAUUUGAACCUUUAAGAGCAAGAAAUAACAAAUAAGAACUAAAAAGCUCAACGUGUUCUAAGAUUCCCUUAAAAACAGAGGAACAUUUUCACAACUACAGCAUAAAAAAUUGGGGUAAGAAAAAAAAAAAGGAAGACUAAUAUACUAUCUGAACUUUAUGUGCUUGUGUAACAUAGAUAGAAAUGACAAGUGAGAUAAGAGACAAAAACAGUCAAAUCCUUCAAGAUAAAUAACCUUCACAUUCCUUAAAAAUUUGAAACACGCUGGCAUCACUGCAACAAGAUUUGGCAAAACAAAAAACAAAAUUAGAGACCCUCUAUUUAGAACAAUCCCAGUUAUUCCACAAAAGCAAGAAACUUCUCACUAUCACUGCAACAUAAAUUUGCACAAAUGAUAACCAAAUUACAAGUUGAUUUUGUAUGUCCAGACAGUUAGAAAAAGCAGUGAUAAACUAGAAGAUUAAAAAUGUCAAUAGACUAACUAAAUUACAAGUUGAUUUAACAUGUUUAGACAACCACAAAGCGGAGUAAUAAACUAGAAAGAAGAAUAAGAAAACUCAUUAGACGUGCCCUUGAGUAGUUGAAUUGUUGAUACUCCUCAAAAACUAAGAAUAUUUAUCAACAACAAAAAAAAAUUGCAAAAUAUGGAAAGGCCGAAAAUAACUCUUUAUAGACACCCUCUCGUAGGAUAGUUCCGAUACUCAUAAAAAACUAUCCAUUUCUCUUACACUGCAUCACAAAAAAAAAAAAAAAAUUGCUCUAAAGCAUUCAUAAUAUAAGAGAUAAACUAAGGAGAGGUAGAGGCAAGAAAAAGAAACGCAUUACAAAGUCCCAAAUAGCAGAGUCUAGAUAAUUCACAAAAAUUACGAACAUGCCAAUCACUACAACAAAAAUUUGCAAAAAUGAAAAACCAAAACAUAACCGCAACUUUAUAAAUUUCAUGUAUUCAAAGAUACAAGUGCAAACUAAGAAACAAUCUGAAAAAACUCACCAGAAGCCGAGUACUACAAUCCCAAUACUCCUUAAGAACUCAGACCAUUUCUUUAACACAGCUGCAUAAAGCUUUGCAACAGGGACAUGACCAACAUACACAUUGCUUUGGAAGGAUUUAAAUGGUUAACUAAGAAAAGGUCAAAUAUACCUCUUUAUAGACACCUUCCAGUAGGGUAGUUCUAAUAAACUAAUCAUUUCUCUUACCCUGCAACAUAAAAAAUAUUGCUCUAAUGCAUUCAUAAUAGAAGAGAUAAACUAAAGAGAGGUAGGGGAAAAAAGAAACACAUCACAGAGACCCCAAAUAGCAGAGUCCGGAUACUGUACAUAAACUACGAACAUUCCAACAUCAUUGCAACAAAAAUUUACAAAAAUGAAAACCAGGACAUAAUCGUAACUUUAUAGUAUUCAGAUAGACAUAGAUGGAAGCCAAAAACAAAAAGAAAGAAUGGAAAUGUCAUUAGAAACCCCUCCAGUAGAGGAUGCCCCAAAAAUACCACAUGAACCCGGAACAUUUUGCUAUCACUCACAACCUAACAGAGAGAAUAUAAAUUACGAAAAAGAAUAAGGAACUACAACCCAGAGUAGCAGAGUCCCAAUAUUUCACUAAAACAUAUAAAUUCUCCAAAUCACUGUAACAUAAAUUUGCAAAAGCGGUAGGACAUUACAAUGAAACUUCAACAAUCGAACAACUAGAAAUAAAAGAAAUCAACAAAGGGUAGCACUAAAAAUACUCAUGAGCAACCCGCGCGUGUAGUACAAUUAGUUAGCCCCAAUACUCGAUAAGGUAUGGCAAGUGCAUGAGGAAGACAAUGGUAAGAUGCCGACGUUCAAGAUUCUGACAAGACGACGGCAAAAGGAAGUCAAUAUUAAGAGAUUGAGAGAAGCCAGUGCCGAGGGUUUUAAGUCAGUAUCCUUUGACUUCUCUCUGUGUUUGCGUUGUGUUCGAUUGAUGCUUAGAAGAAAAUUAGGGAUUAGAGUUUAGAGAGCACCAAAACAGUGUGUUUUUUUAUUUUUAAAUUUUAUUUUAUAAUAAAAUAUUUUAAAAUUUUAAUA